rnacentral:rRNA from 1 species
GAGUUUNNNUCCUGGCUCAGGAUGAACGCUGGCGGCGUGCUUAACACAUGCAAGUCGAACGAUGAUCCGGUGCUUGCGCCGGGGAUUAGUGGCGAACGGGUGAGUAACACGUGAGUAACCUGCCCUUGACUCUGGGAUAAGCCUGGGAAACUGGGUCUAAUACCGGAUAUGACUCCUCAUCGCAUGGUGGGGGGUGGAAAGCUUUUUGUGGUUUUGGAUGGACUCGCGGCCUAUCAGCUUGUUGGUGGGGUAAUGGCCUACCAAGGCGACGACGGGUAGCCGGCCUGAGAGGGUGACCGGCCACACUGGGACUGAGACACGGCCCAGACUCCUACGGGAGGCAGCAGUGGGGAAUAUUGCACAAUGGGCGAAAGCCUGAUGCAGCGACGCCGCGUGAGGGAUGACGGCCUUCGGGUUGUAAACCUCUUUCAGUAGGGAAGAAGCCCUCUUUGGGGGUGACGGUACUUGCAGAAGAAGCGCCGGCUAACUACGUGCCAGCAGCCGCGGUAAUACGUAGGGCGCAAGCGUUAUCCGGAAUUAUUGGGCGUAAAGAGCUCGUAGGCGGUUUGUCGCGUCUGCUGUGAAAGACCGGGGCUCAACUCCGGUUCUGCAGUGGGUACGGGCAGACUAGAGUGCAGUAGGGGAGACUGGAAUUCCUGGUGUAGCGGUGAAAUGCGCAGAUAUCAGGAGGAACACCGAUGGCGAAGGCAGGUNUNUGGGCUGU